UGUUUGUUUGUUUGUUUGUUUGUUUUUUUAGACAUAAUGCUAUUGCGUUCUUUAAACAGACAAUGGGAUGGUGUAAACAUAACUUUUAUGGGCACUGGUAAGCCAAAGAAAUCAUUCGAGUCGCUUUAUUGCGAUAUUUGCUUUAUUGAGGUGGCCUGGAACCGAACCCGCGGUCUCUCCGAGGUAUGCCUGUACAGUGCAUUCCUCCCUUCCUUUCAAAAACCUCCACUAAGGGAAAACGCAGCCUUUGAGGACCCCUCCAACAGAAUCGUUUCCCCACAACCUACCCACUGGGAGGCAACGAGGUGGCCCUCUUGCCAUGAUACCUCUAAGAGAUGGAAAGCCUUGGAGGCAGAGUUGGAGCAGCCAGGGGUGCUGACAGCCCCCAGACAGAACCAUAUGGCUUGUGACACGUUCCACAUAAAUUACCUUUUGGCACCGAGCUAAACAAAAGAACUUUGAAUAAUUCUGCAGUUUCAAAGAGCCUCCCUCUCUGUGACGCUUUUGCCACCAAACAGAAUCUAUCUGCAUAUGUCUGUGCCAAAUGCAUCCUGGUCAGCCGCCCCAUGAUUUAAGACCAGCUAUUCCUUGUCUCCACACUACAUAAUGAAGUCAGUCACAUUUUAUUGCCAAAUGGCCCUGGUAAUGCCUCCGUAACUGCCCAUCGAAGGUGCUUUUGCUUUCGGGAAUAAAGAGCGAAUUUGAAUUUCACCAAGAUAAACUCGUGACUGGGUCAAUACAUCGAAUGGUUAUCGUUUGUGCCCUGCACUUUAUCUAUUUUUGGGCCUUGUUCCCGCAAGGAAAUAAAAAUGUAUUACCUGACUGUAUAAAAGCCACAGGCCUGGGGAAGAGGAGGGACAUUUGUGAACUGUUUUCUGCACGGUAGGAGAGCAGACGGUUUCGUUGCUGGUAGGAAAAACAAAAUGUGGCCUGGGAUGGGGCGAGGGGGGGAUCCAAAGUAGGAAAGAUCACUUGCUCCAACGUUGCAUUUUAAAAGGUAGCUUUUUUCACAGGUGACAUUCAAUUCUCCAAGAGUUUUGAGUGAUUGGCCUCAUUCCACACAAGGGGAGACUGAGGAGCAGCAGUGGAAGGGGGCCUUUUUUCGAAACCACAUGGAUUCUGGAUCUUCGAUGAGAACCAUGUUUCUGGUUCUCUCUCCUUACAGACACAUGUCAAAGGCACACUCCCCUGCUGUUUUGGAGUGCCAUAUGACUCGGGACUCAUUUGGGAUCAUGGAGUGUGAGCAAAAGGGAAGGGUCAUGAUUUCCUCGCAGCUGUGACAAAACCAGUAUUCCAGACAGCGGCUGUCCCGGCAGUCUCAGUCCUGGAGUGAGGACAUAGGAAGGCAGAGAUCCAGCCGAGCCAUGAUGGACACAGAGCAAACGUGAGAAAUAAUAGCACUCGGUUGUCUCAUACCCCUGGGAGCUGGGUGCUAUUUGUUACUGAGGCAUAACCUAGCCUAUCCUGACUCUAAGCCCCAAUGCCAGGCUUUUUACUCCACCGAGUGAAGCCAGAAUGGGAGGUCAGCUCUCCCAAAUCCAAGUUCACCAUUUCACUCUGGUUCUCCUUCUUCUAUUAGGAGUUCCUCGACUUUCAUAAUUCCUAGUUUGCAGAACAGGAGUUUAUGUUUUGGAGAAGUCACUUGCCUGAAGGCACAGCCCCAUUAAGUAGCCUCAUGAUGUCUACCUUAGUAUCAGAGCUCAUCUGAGCUUCCCUUCCUUCUCCUUCCUGUUCCUUGUCCUGCAGGAAAUCAUACAGUCUAGUGAUGAGUAGUAUUGGCUGUGAAGGCGGCCUGCCUGGGUUCAAAGGUGACUUUGAGGGAAUCCCUGGGUGACUCAGCAGUUUGGCGUCUGCCUUCGGCCCAAGGCGUAAUCCUGGAGUCGGGAUCGAGUCCUUUGUCGGGCUCCUUGCAAGGAGCAUGUUUCUCUUUUGCCUGUGUCUCUGACUCUCUUCCUCUCUGUCUCUCAUAAAUGAAUAAAUAAAAUCUUUAAAAAAUAAAAAACAAAGGUGACUUUGAGUGAACAUCUUAGAACCUUCCUCCUCUGUAAUGGGGAUGUCACUAGUAGUAGCACCUACCUCCUAGGGUUAUGGUGACACACACAGAAGUGCUCAACACAGAUCAUGGCACACACUAAGUACAUUGUGCAUGCUCAUCAUGUGAUGAGCACAUCUCCUUAAUCCAACGCUGCCUUAGUACCACAGAGUAUGCAGCCUGCCUCGGGCACCAUGACUGCUGGCUCCCUUCUCCCACUGGGUCCACCAGCCCGCACCACUGGGAUGCCAGCAAGCCUGCCCUGGACCUCAGCGAGUGCAGGAGGGGGACCCUGUCUGCAAUAGACACCUGGGGAUAGCCUGGACAGAUGACUUCUGGCCUUGGGCUUUCCCAGACUUUAUCCUCAGUUGCUUAUUCACUCUCACAAACUAUCAUCAUCUGUCUCAACACUGUUAGCAUCACUUCUACAUCUCUAAGAACUUUCUUUCCUUUUUCCUCCAUUUACACUACAUAUUUACUGAGCACCUGCCACUGCCAGGUGCAGUCCUUGGUGGACAGAAUGUAAAAGGUGAUUCAGACACAGAGUGGCAACAGAGGAAGACCCACAAGAUAGCAAAUCUAGAACACUCCAAUCAGCAUUUAUGAUAGGAAGUAUAGGGUACAGUGGGGGCGUACUGCUCUAUUCAGCAAACACUUAUUGAGCACCUAUCCCGUGUCUGACAUUUUGUUCAACACCAGAAAUACAGUGGUAGAGAGGCCAGGCCCCAUACAUCUUCACAUGAAGUUUAGAAUCCAACAUUUGCACCAGCAUCCGUUCUCCCCUAUUUAUGCCCAAUCUACGGCUUAGGCAUGGCUGACUCUGCUCUACGACCGAGGAUGGAUUGGUAAUCAAAGCUCAGCCAAUGGGAGCUUGGUCCUCAUCACUGAUUCAGGAGUGGUCAUAUGAUUCAGGUUGUCCAUUGAAGACUGGCAUCUAGACAUUUGCUGGAGCUAUUGCAAAAGAGGUUAUGUCACUGUGAUGGGAUUCCUAUAAUGGUAACAUAUAAACUCAGAGUAACCAAUGGAUCUUUAUCAAUAUUUAGGGAGGACCGGGCUGAGGAUGAAAUCAGAAAUCUUCAGAAAGAAAGAUUUCUGUUAACAUCUCAGCCACAGGCACACUGAAUGAGACUGGAGCUAGCCGUACCUGGAGGCAUCAUACCUUCAACAUAUUUUAGUUACUAUGGAGCACUUUUUUUGCUUAAGCCGGUCUGAAUGGGUUUCUGUCACUUGCAAACCAAAGAACACUAAUGCACUGAGGCACAGAAAGAGGACACAAAAAGCUCUGUGAAGAGAGAAAACCAUUUCCUAGAGUAGCACUGGGCCACUCGUAUAGCAGGUUUAUGAACCGAAAUUCACUUUGAUGUAGCAAAAGGACCACGAGAGCAGUGGCUGGAGUUUAGACAAGGCUGAGCCCAUGAGGUCUGCAAGGAAUAAGAGCCCCACCCAGGCGCCACCCAGAAACACUGAUACUCUUGAGGUAUGACCACUGCCACCUGGCUUUGCAAAUGUCGGCGAAGAGGCAUAUUUUUGCCUCUUCCUUGUCUGAGGCUGCGUCCUGUUUCCCUCCUUCCCUGGUGCCUACCUUCCAGGUGGUCAACCCUGGCCAACCCUGUGAGAUCUGAGUGCCAGGAAGACCUUAGUGCUUCCCUGGAAUUAGCCCAAGUCUUCUGGGAGCCAUGGCCUCAGAGAAAACCGAGGCAUGGUGGUUUUCCCUUGUCUUAGGUCUUCACGUGGUGUGUAGUUCAGAGGUAUGUAUGUUAUAUUCGAAAAUCUCCUAUUCAGGAUUCCGCAUCCACAUGAUAAUGGAUGCUCUUUGUUAUUGUUAUUUUGUUUGGGAUUUUCGCUUUUGUUUGGCGCCAGCCAUAGUAUGAACAAUCCCUUGCAUCUGAAAACUGAGUCCUUUGAUGCCUGUUGACAAAAUAGCAAAAUAAAGUGUGUAUGGACUUUCUCAAGCUUUGGAAUGGGAUUCCUUUACUAGGCUGAUAAAUUUUUCCACAGUGCAAGCUGAAGUUUGCCGAAAGGCACAUUUUUGCAAGGUGAACCCAUACUCUAUUGGUGGUUGGUGGUCAGUGGGACAGAACGGGGUGGGGGGGUGUUCCAAAAUUAUUCAGAAGACAGGGAGCCAGGUUAAGCUCUGAAUCCUGGUAGGGAGAGAGCCCACCCCCUAGCAAAGUGCACAAUUGUAGCAAAUGCACAACAGACGCCUUGGUGUGCAGGGGAAGCUGUGGUUGAACACUGACACCCUAUGUGGAGAGCAGGAAAUGGCAGUAGGAGCGUCCACACUUUCAGGGACAUUGCAGGGAAAAGGCAAAUGAAAGGCUCGAGAGCCUAGGUCAGAGGUUGCAAACUGGUGGUGGUCUGUGGACCAAAGUGGACGAGCGAGCAUGAUCUGUUUGUUCCACAUGUUUCCAACUAACUAAGCAGGACAAGGGCUGUCUCUAUUUUAUUUAGUUAUAUCCUCAGCCUCUACAGCAAGACGGGCACACAGUAAGCACCCAAUACACACUGACUGAGUUGAUGGAUGAAUAGAUAGUGGAAUCACGUGAUUUUCAAUCAACAGCCAGAUUUCUAGCUUCUUUUUAAAAAUCAGAAAAAUGAAGAAAACAAUGAGCUGGGGUUGUAGCAGCUGUUCCCUGAAAACAGGAGCUGUUAUCUCCUUGUUACCACAAUCCCCACCACUCCCUAUUGCCUCACAGUGGACUCAAUUCCAUCCUACGCAUCACCUGCCAACAUGUAGGCAUUCAAGUUUGUUGACCGCGACCUAAGCCACUGUGAGAAUUUCCCAGGGGAAGUCUACUUCAGUCGCUGAAGAGGAUGCAGCCAGGGAGUCUGGGUUUAUCACUUUUAUUUCCAGCACCUAGAAGGAUCCUUCCCACGUGAGCUAAGCCUCACUUUUGUCAGCGUGUGUGGGCCACAGGAAGUCAAAAUGUCACAAACCCAUCCCACCCUUCACUCCUCCUCUGCUUCCAACAUUUAAAAAAUGCGGAACAUGAAUCCAGAAGAAUCCAGUUCAGGUUUUCUAGUAAGCAAUCAGUCCAUUUCCCGCCCCCUAAAAUGCUCUACAAAUGCUAAGUUUGUUAUUAUUACCUCAUAUUCCACUGGGCCAUUGCCUGCAAGGAAUCAAUGAGUAAGGAAAGCCUGUAGUUGGCUUAGCUGAUCAGGAAAAUCAAAUGAUUUCACACUUAAUUAGUCAAAGACCUUAACAUGCUCCAAAUGGUCCCACUCCUUUCAGAGGGGCCCCAAAGUGAAUGUGUGAAUGUGCGUGGGGGGCAUUCACUGACCAAAUCACAAAUUAAAGCCUAAAAGGCACAAACCUAUCGCGAUCCAAGGAAACGCCUGAGGUACGAGUCAGUCUGUAGACACACUGUUUGCAGUGCAGCACUGUGCUUCAGAGGAUGGGUGUCUCGACUAUGCAGAACCAGGUUUGAGGCCUGGCUCUGUCACUUACUUUCUGAAAGUUCUUAGUCCUCUCCCUGCCAUCCCUUAGCCUCAGUCUUCAAAUCUGCAAAUGCCAAUAGAAAUAAGAGUGCUUCAGGGCGUCCGGGGGGCUCCGUUCAUUAAGCAUCUGACUUCAGCUCAAGUCACGAUGUCAGAGUCCUGGGAUCGAGUCCCGUGUCGGGCUCCCUGCUCACUGGGGAGUCUGCUUCUCC
rnacentral:lncRNA from 1 species